UACGUAGGGUGCAAGCGUUUGUCCGGAAUUAUUGGGCGUAAAGGGCUCGUAGGCGGUCCAUCGCGUCGGGAGUGAAAAGCUGGGGCUCAACCCCAGUCCUGCUUCCGAUACGGGUGGACUAGAGGUAUGCAGGGGAGAACGGAAUUCCUGGUGUGAGCGGUGAAAUGACGCAGAUAUCAGGAGGAACACCGGUGGCGAAGGCGGUUCUCUGGGCAUUACCUGACGCUGAGGAGCGAAAGCGUGGGGAGCAAACAGG
rnacentral:rRNA from 1 species